rnacentral:tRNA from 2 species
GGGCGAGUGGUGGAACUGGUAGACACGCCAGACUUAGGAUCUGGUGGGGACAACCCGUGGGAGUUCGAGUCUCCCCUCGCCCACCA